UUGGCUAGUAUGUAAAUAAUAUUAUCCAUCCAAGCAAUAUAUCGAUCCCACCCAUUAGGAAGUAAAAUACCGUAUGUAGAUCCUUUAUUACAAUUUUUUUAUAGUUCUUUUAUUAUAGUAGCUCUUUUGGUAGUUAAAUAAAAUUAAUCCGUUCAGUAGGUUCAAAUGGAGUUUUUUUUUUCAAUUUUGAAUAUAGCAUA
rnacentral:lncRNA from 1 species